rnacentral:rRNA from 1 species
GAUGAACGCUAGCGGCAGGCCUAAUACAUGCAAGUCGAACGGUGUAGCAAUACACAGUGGCGCACGGGUGCGUAACACGUAUGCAACCUACCUAUCAUUGGGGGAUAGCCUUUGGAAACGGAGAUUAAUACCGCAUAAGACAGUAACAUGGCAUCAUAUAGCUGUUAAAGCUUCGGCGAUGAUAGAUGGGCAUGCGUCCAAUUAGUUAGUUGGUGAGGUAAUGGCUCACCAAGACGAUGAUUGGUAGGGGAUCUGAGAGGAUAAUCCCCCACACUGGCACUGAGAUACGGGCCAGACUCCUACGGGAGGCAGCAGUAGGGAAUAUUGGGCAAUGGGCGGAAGCCUGACCCAGCCAUGCCGCGUGCAGGAUGAAGGCGUUAUGCGUUGUAAACUGCUUUUUUAUAGGAAGAAGGAGACCUUGCGAGGUUUGGUGACGGUACUAUAAGAAUAAGCACCGGCUAACUCCGUGCCAGCAGCCGCUGUAAAAC